rnacentral:piRNA from 1 species
UCCUUGUGCAGCUGUGUUCCUUGCAUUGG